GGAUCUGUAGUUCAACGGUUAGAACGGGGCUCUUAUAAAGCCCAGACGAAGGUUCGACUCCUUCCAGAUCCACAA
rnacentral:tRNA from 1 species